CGAUGACCUCGUCCAGGCUGAAGUAUC
rnacentral:sRNA from 1 species